CGUCAAAUAGUAUGUUGUACGUAUUCUGAAAGGGAAGUACUUCUUCGGUACAAUAUACAAGGUGCUGCAUGGUUGUCGUCAGCUCGUGCCGUGAGGUGUCGGGUUAAGUCCCAUAACGAGCGCAACCCCUAUCAUUAGUUGCCAUCAGGUCAAGCUGGGGACUCUAAUGAAACUGCCUACGCAAGUAGUGAGGAAGGUGGGGAUGACGUCAAAUCAGCACGGCCCUUACGUCCAGGGCUACACACGUGCUACAAUGGCCGGUACAGAGUGAAGCGAAACCGCGAGGUGAAGCAAAACGCAGAAAGCCGGUCUCAGUACGGAUUGGAGUCUGAAACUCGACUUCAUGAAGUUGGAAUCGCUAGUAAUCGCGCAUCAGCAUGGCGCGGUGAAUACGUUCCCGGGCCUU
rnacentral:rRNA from 1 species